rnacentral:rRNA from 1 species
UUUGAUCAUGGCUCAGGAUGAACGCUGGCGGCGUGCCUAACACAUGCAAGUCGAGCGAUCUCUUCGGAAAGAGAGCGGCGGACGGGUGAGUAACGCGUGGGUAACCUGCCUCAUACACAUGGAUAACAUACCGAAAGGUAUGCUAAUACAAGAUGAUAUAAGAGAUUCGCAUGGAUUUCUUAUCAAAGCUCCGGCGGUAUGAGAUGGACCCGCGUCUGAUUAGCUAGUUGGUAAGGUAAUGGGCUUACCAAGGCGACGAUCAGUAGCCGACCUGAGAGGGUGAUCGGCCACAUUGGAACUGAGACACGGUCCAAACUCCUACGGGAGGCAGCAGUGGGGAAUAUUGCACAAUGGGCGAAAGCCUGAUGCAGCAACGCCGCGUGAGCGAUGAAGGCCUUCGGGUCGUAAAGCUCUGUCCUCAAGGAAGAUAAUGACGGUACUUGAGGAGGAAGCCCCGGCUAACUACGUG